UAAUGACUCUCGGCAACGGAUAUCUUGGCUCUUGCAUCGAUGAAGAAUGUAGCGAAAUGCGAUACUUGGUGUGAAUUGCAGAAUCCCGUGAACCAUCGAGUCUUUGAACGCAAGUUGCGCCCCAAGCUGUUAGGCUGAGGGCACGUCUGCCUGGGUGUCACG
rnacentral:rRNA from 1 species